rnacentral:rRNA from 1 species
AUAGCUGGUUCUCCCCGAAAUAGCUUUAGGGCUAGCCUUAAGUGUAAGAGUCUUGGAGGUAGAGCACUGAUUGAACUAGGGGUCCUCAUCGGAUUACCGAAUUCAGUCAAACUCCGAAUGCCAAUGACUUAUCCUUAGGAGUCAGACUGCGAGUGAUAAGAUCCGUAGUCAAGAGGGAAACAGCCCAGAUCGCCAGCUAAGGUCCCAAAGUGUGUAUUAAGUGGAAAAGGAUGUGGAGUUGCUUAGACAACUAGGAUGUUGGCUUAGAAGCAGCCACCAUUUAAAGAGUGCGUAAUAGCUCACUAGUCGAGUGACUCUGCGCCGAAAAUGUACCGGGGCUAAAUACACCACCGAAGCUGCGAAUUGAUACCAAUGGUAUCAGUGGUAGGGGAGCGUUCUAAGUGCAGUGAAGUCAGACCGGAAGGACUGGUGGAGCGCUUAGAAGUGAGAAUGCCGGUAUGAGUAGCGAAAGACGGGUGAGAAUCCCGUCCACCGAAUGCCUAAGGUUUCCUGAGGAAGGCUCGUCCGCUCAGGGUUAGUCAGGACCUAAGCCGAGGCCGACAGGCGUAGGCGAUGGACAACAGGUUGAUAUUCCUGUACCACCUCUUUAUCGUUUGAGCAAUGGAGGGACGCAGAAGGAUAGAAGAAGCGUGCGAUUGGUUGUGCACGUCCAAGCAGUUAGGCUGAUAAGUAGGCAAAUCCGCUUAUCGUGAAGGCUGAGCUGUGAUGGGGAAGCUCCUUAUGGAGCGAAGUCUUUGAUUCCCCGCUGCCAAGAAAAGCUUCUAGCGAGAUAAAAGGUGCCUGUACCGCAAACCGACACAGGUAGGCGAGGAGAGAAUCCUAAGGUGUGCGAGAGAACUCUGGUUAAGGAACUCGGCAAAAUGACCCCGUAACUUCGGGAGAAGGGGUGCUUUCUUAACGGAAAGCCGCAGUGAAUAGGCCCAAGCGACUGUUUAGCAAAAACACAGCUCUCUGCGAAGCCGUAAGGCGAAGU